GGCUGAUCUUUCCUAAGAGUCCACAUCGACGGGAAGGUUUGGCACCUCGAUGUCGGCUCUUCGCCACCUGGAGCUGUAGGUGGUUCCAAGGGUUGGGAUGUUCGCCUCUGUCCGUUGCAAAUACAGUAGUUUUUCCUAGUCCUGG
rnacentral:ncRNA from 1 species